AGGCUGGCAAGAGUCCCAGAAGUUCAGUUCACUUGCCCCUGGACUUCCUGCCCUUGCCCUGUUUGGGGAACAAGCCCCUGAGGCCUGCAUGGCUGGCUGUCCUCUCUUCCGUUCAUCUCUUUUGUCCUGAACACCAGGCCCUGAUUAAAUACCAUUCCUGAUGAAUGAGCCGGCACAGUCCACGCUGGGACGUCGUGUAGUGCAGGUGGAAGUCAGAAGGGCAUGUUUAAGGACAUUAUGCAGGUCACACAAUGACGAAGCCCAGGGAAGAGCACAAAUGUCAGGAAGCCGUUUGCCUUCCCACUAGGAAACUGCACUCCACUCUUCUUCCAGGAAGCGGCAUUGUUUCGAGUGGCAAAAGGCUAGAAGCAACUUCUAUAUCCUAGAGAGGGGCAGUCUGAAGCAACCGUGAGCCACCUUUCCAAUGGACUAGUGAACAGUUGCAAAAAUAGAAGCAAAAAGAAGGAUGUUCUGUGUGACUUCUGCAGUGCAAUUUCUGAUCUGGUGACAAGACUGCUGUAAACAGCUGGCCCACAGUGCAUCCAUGCAAUGGAGGCUGAUCUCUAGUUCUUCUGGUUGGUGGGCAGCUCUCCCAUGGGGACUGCACCCGUUUUCUCUUCUGAUCCCAUUGUCCUCUAAGGCCUCGUUGUCUGCAUCGAGCUGAUGGAAUGGAACAGAGGCAUGGUAGAGGCAGAGUUGUUUCUGAAAGUCUUUGACGUGAAAGCGCGCAUGCCUUCUACUCCCAUUCUACAUGAAAGAACUGCUCAUAUGUACAUAUUCAGAUUCAAGGAAGGCUGGGAAAUGCGAUUCUGGCUGAGCAGCUGCUUUUGAACUGUGACUGUUUCCUAGGAAAGGAGAGAAUACGUUUGCUGAACACCUAGCUGCCUCUGCUACCAUCUCAUUUACUUAUCAUUACAUGAAAAAGCAAGAUGCAUAAUAUUGUUACUGUGCCGGCUAUUUGUCUAAAGAGGCGUGGCGUAUAUAUCUGUACCUAUAUAUGCAGCUCCCAUGCUGACCUAUGGGAGAGGACUUUUGGGAAUUAGUAAAUGGGAGAUGAAACAGAAGAGAAACUUCACUACACUGUAUACUCUCGUAGGUGUUUGAGAUGCUACCAAUGGAAAUUAAAUUACCUACUCGGAGAGCAAAAUAAAUUUAAGAUGUUAAAAAAAAAGAGAGAAUGCCACCAAUCUGGACAGAAGGUAAAGAACAUGACUCCCAGACACACUGUAGACCCAUCUGGCUCAGGGCCAUCCCAUCCCACAAGCAGCGUGGGAGUGGAUGAAGCCAUCUGGGAGCCCCCGUCAGGAGCUGCAGUCUUGAAGACUGUGAGCAAAGCGUAGGCGAAAAUGUACCAGAACUGAUGUCAUUAAAAGAAAGCUGCUUUUCUUUGCUCAGAGAAAAGAGGCAGAAGUUUAUAGAAAGAAGAUCUCACUUCGUGUGAUCUGUGAAAUAUACAUAAGCAAAGCAGGUAUAUUUUCAUAGCUUUUAUGUAAAUGUAUGUUUCUUAUUGACCCCAGUGGAAAGAAGGUCUCUUCACCACAGAAAAUGAAACAUCAAUGUCACUUUGCAUGGUAAAUGUCUCCCACAGCGUCCGCCUCUGGGUUUAGGAAAAGUAGGGUAUCAAUAGACAGCUAAAGAAGGAGUUGCUGGCCGGCUACUGCCUACAAGAAGAAGUGUGUCAAGGAUAUUUCAUCCCCAUUUUCAAGAAUUUUUGCCUAUAGGACUCCCAGGAGCACAGGAGCCCACUACAAGGAAGGUUAUACAAAGAAGUCUCUCUGUGAUAAGAGCAACAGCUGCAAAGAUGGCGGCUCACUACCUCCAUAGUGUGGUCGGUUCAUGCAACCCCAGACGCUAACCGAGAGUGCCUGCCUUUCCCAUGGGAAGGAUGUGAAGACGGUCCCAGGAGGCACGCCCUCUACAUUUCCGGGAGUCAGGCUUUCAGAGGGGACUGGAAGAACGUUUUUCACAGUUUGGCAAAAGAUUGUCUUAAGCACUGUUGAUUGAUUGUCUCUGCCCCCAUCAAUGUUGUGAUUAUCCAAGAGAUAUAAUAAAGGGCUCUCUUUAUCACAGUUACUUAUAAUGUGCCCUUUUCCUAACUGCCCAGCAUUCUCUACUAGAUGUGCCAGAAUUCCUCCAGUGGGCCCACCGGGAACAUGCAUGUGAUGUCAGUUCUGUGGAAAGUGCCUGACUUUGCAUUUCUGGUGUGCCAGCAUCCGCUAAGAUCUUGUAGGAAUAAUCACAAUUUGCAUCCUCAAGAGGUACCAUAACUCAAGGGGGAGACAAAUAUUGAAAUUAAUAGGAUCAGUUGUGAUACGUGCUAUGAUAAAAGCAGAGACUUCUCCCAGAUUCUCUGUUUCAGGCAUCCAUAAAAUUACAAAUGUAAUACAGCACAAACUGGCCAUCAUUUACCUUGUCAAGAAAGUUAUUAAAUAAAAUCUGUCACAAUCACCACCAUUUC
rnacentral:lncRNA from 1 species